rnacentral:rRNA from 1 species
UGCAGUUAAAAAGCUCGUAGUUGGAUUUCUGGUAGAAUAUUCGAUCCCUCUGAUGAGUGCGAUCGAAAGUUUUACCGUCCUUCUGUUAACCUUGGAGGCUUUUACGGUCUCCCUGGGGCUCAGAUAUUUUACCUUGAGAAAAUUAGAGUGUUUCAGGCAGGCUAGCGCCGGAAUACAUUAGCAUGGAAUAAUAGAAUAGGACUUUUGCCUCUUCUGUUGGUCAUGGGGUUUAAGUAAUGAUUAAUAGGGAUAGUUGGGGGCAUUAGUACUUCACUGUCAGAGGUGAAAUUCUCGGAUUUGUGAAAGACUAACUUAUGCGAAAGCAUUUGCCAAGGAUGUUUUCAUUAAUCAAGAACGAAAGUUAGGGGAUCAAAGACGAUCAGAUACCGUCCUAGUCUUAACCAUAAACUAUGCCGACUCGGGAUCGGGGGCGAGUAUUAUCCGCCUUCGGCACCGUAUGAGAAAUCAAAGUCUUUGGGUUCUGGGGGGAGAUAUGGUCGCAAGGCUGAAACUUAAAGGAAUUGACGGAAGGGCACCACCAAGCGUGGAACUUGCGGCUCAAUUUGACUCAACACGGGGAAACUUACCA